AUGGAGGAACAGACCAAGGCCUUAGCAGACCUGACGGCGGCCAUCUCGGCCAUGUCAGCGAAGAUCGACGCGAUCCACCCGGUCGUGCUCGAUCUCCAAGGGUGGAAGCCGGCGAUCGAGCGGUCGGUCGACGAGCUGCGCGCGGAGGUGGGCGAUCUGCGCGGGCUGUUGUUGGACAAGGGCAAGAGCGCGGAGGGUGCGCCAGCAGCUCCCCCGCUACCGCCGCCACCAUCCCAACCACCGGUCCGGCUGCUGGAUCUGCCGCCCCUGAUUCCUCAUGCGGCGGAGUCGAGCUUGGCGCAGCCGCCGGAAGGGCCGCAAGCGCAUGGUGGCGGCAGCCACGGGCCAAUUGGCCACGGCAGGACCUCAGAUCACCGGGGGAUGUCACCGGGGUACCGAUCCCCGCGGGCGCCUCCGGUCACGGGUACGUUCGAUUCCCGUCAUCCGUUUAGAGAGAUUUCAUUCAUGGGAGAGAGGGGGUUUGGUUUUUCUCGCUAUCCCCCACCACCGCGCCUCGAAUUUCCUCUGUUCGACGGGGAUGGACCCCGCGCGUGGUGUCUGAAGUGCGAGGCUUAUUUUCGAGUCUGUACUCUGAGUCCGGAUACUUGGGUGAGCUGCGCCUCGAUGUAUUUCAUCGACGGGGCACUAUCAUGGUUACAAUCUACCAAUGCUCACCUCGCUUACCAAGAGUUGGAGGAAUUUGCUAACGCGGUCUCUGAGGAGUUUGGGCGGGAGGAGUUCCAAUCUCUGUUGCGCCAGUUCAACCGGCUGCAGCAGAGCGGAACGGUGACGGAGUAUGCAGAAAAAUUUACUCAGUUUAUGCAUAAUCUUAUGGCUCAUCAUGCAUCUUGGGAACCUACCUAUUUCAUUACUCAUUUCAUCGAUGGACUGCAGAAGGAAGUUCGUGCAGCUGUGGUAAUGCAUCGUCCAAAAACACUCGAUACUGCUGUCAACCUUGCUUGUCUGCAGGAAGAAGUGAUGGAGGCGAUGCGGAGGGAGGACAAACGCGAGGAUCGCCGGUUCAGAGCCGCCUCUGCCACGAGGUCGGUGCCGCGCACGGCGCUACCUCUACCACCUCCGCCGGUGCAGGCGCCGCCCAAACCGGUAGCACCAACGGAAUCGCGCAGCGCGGAUCGUCGUGCCAUCGAGGCGGCACACACUCCACCUGAGGACAGAGUCGCAGCGCUCCGUGCAUAUCGCCGAGCGCGCGGCCUCUGUUUCACCUGCAGCGAACGGUGGGGGCGCGAUCACCGGUGUGGGCCAACCGUGCAACUCCACGUGGUGGAAGAGCUGAUCGACAUGAUGAACAACGAGAUGCACAUGCCAGAGGAGCCCAUCCCAUAA
rnacentral:rRNA from 1 species